UAAUUCCUCAAUAGAGAAAUGUUCUUUUCAUUCACAUGUUAAGCAGGGAUUAAAGAUACAACAGGUUAUAACUUAAUCCUUACUAUGUUUGCUUUUCUUGAAGCAUCACGGGAUAUUUUGGCAUGAGUGGUUUUUUUCUUGGUUACCACCUCAAAAUCAGGUUCCCUUAAUUCUACGCAGUUUUUUGUUAUUUAAAAUAAAUUCAUUUUAUUACUGUUUUCUUAAUGCUACUUGAAGUACAGUUGAACAAUACUCAGAACUAGCAAAAAUCUCAGCUUUGAAUUACUGAAUGACAUGUUCCCACAAAAGAUCUGAGGGUGCCAGAGGCCACAUAAUCCAAGUCGCAAUAUUAGGCAUCUUAGUCAUAUGAGUCUUUACAUGACUGACUUCUCUUUCUCUGAGAAAAGACUCCCAGAAGCAAAGUUAUACCCUAUGCAGCAUCAAAUAUAAUGCGAGAUUCUUCUGGAAAUAACUGUGCAUCCAAGCAAGAUUUAACGCCUGCAUUGAGCAUGUGCUGCUCUUCUAGCUGAUCCUGACAAAUGGCACUGCAAACCACUUGUGUGCCUCCAACCCAAGCACACAAAUGGAGUAGGAAAUAGUUCCAGUGAGUUUACUGUUCUGCAGAAUAUCAAACAAACCUCCUGCUAACUGCAAACACCAAGCUGUCAAAGCAAAUGUUAUUUUUUUUUUUCCCCUGUUAAAAUGGUCAUGCAAAACACACUUAGCAAUAUUUCAUGAGCACAUUCAGGCCAGACAAAAGAUGGGAACAGGAAUUUAAGCAGGACACCUUAAUUAACUUGUCACAGAAAGAGCAAAAGGGCUGCUGUGAGACACAGUGGGUGCCGCCCGAGUCUCAGGCUCCCAGCACCGUGAGUCAACAUGCUACCAUGGCACUGCGUUUACACAAGUCACCUUCCAGGUUUGGUUUGGGUUUUGUUUUCCCUUUGUCUGUGACAGGUGUGCACGCACCACAGAUUGUCAGGCAACUUCAUCCAGGCUCCAUCCAAGGAGAUGGCGGCAUUCCUGUGCCUCCCCCCAUCCCACUGGGAUCCAGGCUAUGCGCUCGCCUGCCCUGGCCUAAUGCUUGGGGCAGGGGACACAGCUUUGCAAGCCAAACUGCUUUUGGCCCCAAGGUCGAACAGUGGCUCCUUCAGCCUCUUCAACAAUCCUUUAAACUGGCUCCUAGAACAACUCUUCCCAUCAGGGAAUUGUCCAACUCUGAAAACUACAAUUUAUACUCUUACCUUGUUGUUUCAAUGGGAAAUACAAACCUCCAUCAGCUGACUGGCAGGGCAUCCUACAGGUUCAUGCCCAAACAGCACUUCUGUUAGGAACAGCACCUUUGCAAAACACCAUCAGACAGGACAUCACUGAAUUAAUCUUGGAGGUGAUUUAUGGAGACGCGUUGCACACAGCUCCUAUCAAAACCAAGCACAACAUGAGCCUGGUCUGGCCCACGGUGUUUAUAUUCAUUUCCAGUUUGCAUCACAAAAAUAGAUGAUCUGUAAUCAUGGCCUGUCAGCUUGGUUUAACAAAAUGAACAUUUCUUUCAGGCUGUGUAUACCUCCACCAGCUCUGUAUAUUGGCUUAAUAAAACAGUAGUUA